UGNGAUUGAACCUGAGGCAGGUGCUAAGC
rnacentral:piRNA from 1 species